rnacentral:rRNA from 1 species
CACGCCGUAAACGAUGAAUACUAGGUGUAGGGGGUAUCGACCCCCCCUGUGCCGCAGUUAACACAAUAAGUAUUCCACCUGGGGAGUACGGCCGCAAGGUUGAAACUCAAAGGAAUUGACGGGGGCCCGCACAAGCAGUGGAGUAUGUGGUUUAAUUCGACGCAACGCGAAGAACCUUACCAGGGCUUGACAUCCUCUGACGACAGUAGAGAUACUGUUUUCCCUUCGGGGACAGAGAGACAGGUGG